UUUGGUCCCUAUCUGCCGUGGGCGUUGGAUAUUUGAAGGGGGCUGCUCCUAGUACGAGAGGACCGGAGUGGACGAACCUCUGGUGUACCGGUUGUCACGCCAGUGGCAUCGCCGGGUAGCUAUGUUCGGAAGAGAUAACCGCUGAAAGCAUCUAAGCGGGAAACUCGCCUUAAGAUGAGAUAUCCCUGGGGACUAGAUCCCCUUGAAGGGUCGUUCGAGACCAGGACGUUGAUAGGUCAGGUGUGUAAG
rnacentral:rRNA from 1 species